CAGAUUGCAGGCUGCAACUCGCCUGCAUGAAGUCGGAAUUGCUAGUAAUCGUAGGUCAGCAUACUACGGUGAAUACGUUCCCGGGCCUUGUACACACCGCCCGUCAAACCAUGAGAGUUGGCAACACCCGAAGUCGGUAGUCUAACCGCAAGGAGGACGCCGCCGAAGGUGGGGUCGAUGAUUAGGGUUAAGUCGUAACAAGGUAAC
rnacentral:rRNA from 1 species